CCAGGCUUAAGCGAUCCUCCUACCUCAGCCUCCUAGGACUAUAGAUGAGUAAACUGAAACACAGAGAAGCCAAGUGACUGUCUUUAUCCAGUGAAGAAGUGGUGUGCAGGAAUUCAGACCAGAUGGUGUGACUCCAGGAUCUAUGCUCUUUAUCUCCAUGCCAGUCUGCCCAUUCUCCUGUGCCCUUCUCAUUUGAGAAGUUGCUGCUUGCUGCCCAGCUUACAGUUCAGGUUGCCAGGGUGGGAGCAAUAUUUUUCAUAGCGCUUAGUCCAACCCUCUUGUUACAGCUGAUUGAUGACAGGUAGAUAGAUCCCUGAUCAAUGAUAGUCUAUGGCUAUUCUGCAAUCUGUCACUCAGGUGGACUCUCACUCCGUGGUAUUUAAAUGAAGCAACUUGGAAAUAAUUUGCUAGUUGUUAAGGAACAGGAAAAAGUGGAUGGGUGGCCUGUAGAUGAGUCAUAUUUAAAGUGACUUAUCUAUAAUAAAGGUAUUAGUGCUUCUGCUA